CGCUUUUCCGCCCCGGCUCUUCUUUUGUUGUCAAGUCCUUUUGAUAAAUGGUGGGGCUGGGAGAUCUGGGAGUCGGGAGCCAGUCUGUGCCCGCGUGGGGGGCGGGGGCCGAGCCUGGAGACCCGGUUUCGACCGGCGCGCACCUGGGGCUGAGCCGGGUGCGCGCGGGGGUCGGGUCUGGAACUGCCCUCGGUAUGCUCGCCUUCUCCUCUUGGCCCAUCUCACUCCCCUCCCCCACCUGACUCCCCUCCCCGGCUUCUUUCUCUGUCUCCCACUCCGCACGGGUACCGAGAACUUUCCGGGAAUCGACGGGAUUUCUCUGGCUGUCGUUUGCGCUGCAUUUAUCCGAAUAAAUCCAGCUCGCAGGCAUCCUGCAAGAAACGGCUCCCGGCUCGCGUGUACGCCGACACCUUGGCCCAACGCAGGACUCGAGGUGGCUUCUAGUGCCCGGGUGGCUGCAAGUCUGCCCUCCGAGGGAGGCUGGACAAGCGGCGCCCCCAGGUCGAGCGGCCUCUCGCUGCCUGGCAGUGCCUGGCAGCCCCCACCCCUGCCAGUGCUUCGGAAACCUGCCUGGCCAGGUUCGCCCGCGGUGAAAAAUGAAAGCAAAUUCCCCAACAGAGGUAGCCGGAACUUUCCUCGACGAAGGCUCCCUCCUGCGCCUGUGUCUGGAGAACCCCCAGAGCGCUGCAAGUUAGCAAGAGAGAUUCGAUGGCGGCUCUGGAAGGCGCACGAAGGGUGGGGCGGGGGAGCAAAGAGGCCACUGGGUGACCCAGCCUGGCCCGGGGUGAAACGCUAGAGAAGGCGCCUCGCCUUCCUUAUUUCAAUGCAACUCCUCGGCCCCAGACGGUAAAAAUAGUUUCCAAGCUGCCGCGGACGCCCAGGAUGUGUUUGCAGAGAUCAAACUGGGGAGGAGGCAGCUUUGUGAAAGUUGCAGAAAGAUUAGCCGAGAAGCGUCCGCCCGGCGGGGCUCAAGAAAGCUUGGGGACAGCUCCAUGUUCCUUGGGGCGGAAUGGCCCAAGAAUUGGCCUGGGUAACCCCCUGCCCAGUUCUCUGUCCUCACUUCGAGCCAGUGCUUAAAUAACUUCCCGCCGCCUGCCCUGCAAACUUCCCAGCGCGGCGCCGUUGAGGCCAGGACACAGCAAAGGCUAGCAAAACCCCGCCGCGGCGCGCUCGGCCCCAGCCCUGAGAGGCUGCGCGGGUGGGAGGACCAGUGUGGUUUCUGCUCCCACUCGGCUGCCCAGACCCUCAAGACCGAUCCCCCAACUCCUGGGAGCGGGUGCUUCCCUCUGGGAGCCGAGAUCUUGCGGGGCCAGCGAGGGCGCAAAGUGCGCGCGCUGGCCCGCGCGGGGGCGGCCGCGCGUCUCUCCGCGGGGCCUGUCGCCAGGCCGGCCGCGGCGGGUGAGUGAUGAGGGCAGAGAAGGGCGCCCAUAAAUCGCGGGUGUCAGGGCGAAAAACUCUCUUUAUUGUCUGCGUGAUGGAUGGGCCCGGGGACGAGACACCAAAUACUUCGUAUCGCCUUUAAAUGGGAACACAUUUUCCGCGGCCAUAAUUCAUGUUUUUUAAAUAGAAAGUUUGAAAUGUUGCCUAUAUUUCACCAGCCCUGACAUAUUUAUGAAUCGCUCCCUGCAUGCAAAUAUCAUUACUUAAAGCGCCGGGGAGAGCGCGGGGGAGGGGAGGAGGCGCGGUUCCCGGGGCGCGGGGGUGGUGAACCGGGGAAAUAUCGGUGGAGGGGGGCCAUCUCCCUAAAGGGCAGAG
rnacentral:lncRNA from 1 species